rnacentral:rRNA from 1 species
UAAGGAAUAUUGGGCAAUGGACGCAAGUCUGACCCAGCCAUGCCGCGUGGAGGAUGAAGGUCCUCUGGAUUGUAAACUUCUUUUAUAUGGGACGAAAAAGGGUCUUUCUAGAUCAACUGACGGUACCAUAUGAAUAAGCACCGGCUAACUCCGUGCCAGCAGCCGCGGUAAUACGGAGGGUGCAAGCGUUAUCCGGAUUCACUGGGUUUAAAGGGUGCGUAGGUGGGGUGGUAAGUCAGUGGUGAAAUCUCCAGGCUUAACUUGGAAACUGCCAUUGAUACUAUCAUUCUUGAAUACCGUGGAGAUGAGCGGAAUAUGUCAUGUAGCGGUGAAAUGCUUAGAUAUGACAUAGAACACCAAUUGCGAAGGCAGCUCGUUACACGAAUAUUGACACUCAGGCACGAAAGCGUGGGGAGUCAAACAGGAUUAGAUACCCUGGUAGUCCACGCCCUAAACCGAUGGAUACUCGACAUUU